AAUAAAUAAUUAAUUAAAUAUAAUAAAUAAUUAAAUAAUUUAUUAUUUAAUUAUUUAUUA
rnacentral:tRNA from 1 species